UAGUGAUUGUGAUAUUGGCCUGGUUCACUCAGAACAUGUAAAAGAAACCCUAAGUUGAAUUCUUUUUUUCAUUUCUUGGUUGAUUUUUUAUGAUUUGAUUGAGCCGUGCCAAUAUCUCAGUGCUCUUU
rfam:Jatropha curcas cultivar GZQX0401 scaffold72_4, whole genome shotgun sequence.